rnacentral:lncRNA from 1 species
GGAAAACACAGAAGACGAGGGCUGAAAGAUGGCAUUGGACUUGGCACAGGGAUGGUCAGGAGGUCCUGAGUCACUUUGAGAAGCACAGGAUGUGGUCUGGGAUCAGGUGUUGCAUCUGCUUGUUGUGUGUCUGUCAUCUCUGUCAAUCAGGAACAUUUUCCACAGCCUUUCUGUCACUUUCAUGACAUUGAUGUUUUGAAGAACAGUCUCUUUUAAUAAGUAGAUGUUUCCCCCUUUGGGGCGUGUCCAGGGACUCCUGUGAUAGGAUUCACUCGGGCACUCUUGGCUGGCGCCUGCCUGCGUGGGAUUGUGCUUCCUCAGGGCCUCACCUCGCCAGGUGCGGAGCAACGCUCUGCCCCCACGUUGGGAUGUGAGGUUGCCGACUCAGUGCAGAGCUGUUUGGCUUCUCCCGACUUUGGUUACCACUCACGACUAAUAAACCAUCUGCAAGAAGCCCCUGGAAGACCAUGCGGAAAUCCUGCAUCUUGUGACGUUUCCCCAGGACUUAGCCGUGGUUGGUUUCUGCCUUGACCCGUCUUUACUGUGAUGGCUGUAAGUGGUGCUUGUGCAGCUCCCAUGCAGACUUGGCCACCUGCUGGGAGCAGACCCCCCCCCCCCCCCCUUCUUCCUGGACUCCUGUGUCUUCAUUCACCGCUGUCCUAGUGUCUAAUUCAUCACUGUCCUCG